AAGUCGUAACAAGGUUUCCGUAGGUGAACCUGCGGAAGGAUCAUUACAGUAUUUGGUGGUUGUGGGGGGGAGGUUAUGUUACAGUAACCUCUGCCAUACCACACAUUCGCGCUUGUCUUGUUUCACAGAGUAAAACUAUCAUUAUCACACAUAACUUUUAACAAUGGAUCUCUGGGCUCUU
rnacentral:misc_RNA from 1 species